GCGGGAAUAGCUCAGUGGUAGAGCGCCACCUUGCCAAGGUGGAUGUCGCGGGUUCAAUCCCCGUUUCCCGCU
rnacentral:tRNA from 11 species